rnacentral:misc_RNA from 1 species
GCCUACAUACACAUCAUUAAGUAAACACAAUUUAAUUCAUUUUCUAUAAAUUAACGAGGUCAGCGAAAAGGACAAAACAUUAUAACUUUUCGCGUUAACUUAAAAUGCUUCGUAAUUUUAUAAAAAGAACUUACUGUAGUGUUCCAUUAAAUAAUCUCAAUAUCGAACAGAAAAUUAACCCAUUAACCGACACUUUCGGUAGAUUUCACAAUUAUUUGCGCAUCUCUCUAACAGAGAAAUGUAAUUUAAGAUGUCAAUAUUGUAUGCCAGCCGAAGGUGUUACUUUGAGUCCAAAACAAAAUUUACUAACUUUGGAUGAAAUUGUACGCGUUGCAAAACUUUUCGUUAAAGAAGGAGUUAAUAAAAUACGCUUAACAGGUGGUGAACCCACUGUACGUAAAGAUUUAGUUGAUAUAAUAGCAACUUUAAAAAGCAUUCCAGGUUUAGAAACCGUUGCAAUGACCACUAACGGAAUAGUUUUAACAAGACAAUUAGUUGCUUUACAAAGAGCCGGUCUCGAUAUCAUCAAUGUAAGCCUCGAUAGUUUAAAACCGGAACGAUACGAGAAAAUAACGCGAAGGAAAGGUUUAGAAAAAGUUAAAAUGGGCAUUGAUUUAGCGCUACAACUCGGAUAUAAACCCGUUAAAAUAAAUUGCGUUUUAAUUAAAGGGUUUAACGAUGACGAAAUUAUUGAUUUUGUGAAUUUAACAGAAAAUAAAAACAUCGAUAUACGAUUUAUUGAGUACAUGCCAUUUAGCGGAAAUAAAUGGGAAAUCAAAAAAAUGUUUCCUUAUAAAAAUAUCUUAGAAAAAAUCAAGGAAACACACCCGGAUUUUUAUCAACUCCCAAACGGCCCAAAUGAUACCUCAAAAGGAUGGAAAGUACCCGGAUUUGAAGGCCAAGUUGGUUUUAUUACUUCAAUGAGCGAACAUUUUUGCCAUUCUUGUAAUCGACUCAGAAUAACAGCUGAUGGACAUCUUAAAGUUUGCUUAUUUGGGAAUCGGGAGAUUUCUUUGAGGGAUGCGAUGAGAGCUGGGUGUAAUGAUGAUGAUUUAACUGCUUUAAUUGAAGCCGCCGUUAAAAAGAAGAAAAAACAACAUGCAGGCAUGGAAAAUUUACAUUUAAUGGAGAAUAGGCCGAUGAUUCUAAUUGGUGGAUAGAUUUAAAUUUAAACUUUUUAAAUUUAGUUGAUCUCUAAACGUAAUUUAGUUAUUUUCUCAUUUUAAGGUACUUUUAAUCGACCAAAUCAGCUCAACAACUCAAUUUUAAAUCAACAUUUCUUCCCCCAUCUCUUCGUGAAACCUCAAAAAAUCGCAAAUUACCGAAAUCACAGCACAUUGUCUCACAUAAACUCUGAAAGUGGAAGCGUACAAAUGGUUAACAUUGGUACGAAAUCGAUAACAAAUCGUACAGCAAAAGCUCGUGCAAUAAUCCACGUUGGAUCUGAAGUUUUAUCUCUAAUUAAAACAAAUUCGAUUAAGAAAGGCGCCGUUUUAACUUGUGCUGAAAUUGCUGGAAUAAUUGGAGCAAAAAGAACUAGUUCAUUAAUUCCAAUGUGUCACAAUAUCAAUUUAAAUCAUGUUGAGGUUAUUGCGGAACUUGAUGACAAAACGAGCUCUGUGAUUAUUUAUGGU